ACGGUGAACUAACGGCGACUGGCUGCGGUGCGAUUGACAUCGUGGCUUAUACGGACCUCAUGCUGUAAAAAUCGUAGGCUAGCCGAAUUUUUAUAGAAUGAACGUUAUUUUUUUGGAAUAUUUCAUACUUGCAUGCGCUCACGUUGCAAAGCAAAGAUGCCUUUAUUAUCGUUUAUAAUCAGUUAUUCAUUUUCUCUGUGCUUCGUUAUAAGGCUUUGCCCCAUAAAUAUGGACCAUUUUCGUAACUGCUUGCUCGUGUAGAAUUCGACUUUGUUACGGACUUGACUGGACGAUAGUGUUUAUACCACAGAAUAUCAGCUAAUUUAAUAAUAACAUCUCUCAUUUUUUUUAACUUUUAUUUAAAAAAAAAAAUGCAGGACGUCUGUGAUGUCGUCAACGUGGAGCUCGGAUUUAUUUCCGUUUUUUUUUUUAAAAGUCCGUCCAAGAGACCAGUCUCCAUGUCACAGAUUUCUCGGGUUCUACGUCUUCCUCUGUUAGAUCCACUUCAUCGGGGCCUUGGCCACGCCUCCUGAGUACCGUAUGUGUCUCAGAAUGUCGGUGAACCCCCCCAGCAGUAACGAUGCCUGCCUCAGCAUCGUGCACAGCCUCAUGUGCCACCGACAAGGCGGCGAGAACGAAGGCUUCGCCAAGAGGGCCAUCGAGAGCCUGGUCAAGAAACUGAAGGAGAAGAAGGAUGAGCUGGACUCGCUCAUCACCGCCAUCACCACCAACGGCGUCCAUCCCAGCAAGUGCGUCACCAUCCAGAGGACCCUAGAUGGAAGACUUCAGGUGGCCGGACGUAAAGGUUUCCCCCACGUGAUCUACGCUCGUCUAUGGCGCUGGCCGGACCUUCACAAAAAUGAGCUGAAGCACGUCAAGUUCUGUCAGUACGCCUUCGACUUAAAGUAUGACAACGUCUGUGUGAAUCCGUAUCACUACGAGAGAGUCGUCUCUCCCGGCAUCGUUGGCCUCAGCCUACAGAACACAGCUCCGACCGGCAGGCUGAUUAAAGAGGAAUACACCCACGACUGCGUUCAGAUGGACGUUCCUCCUGGUUUGCCUCCACAGUCAGACCACCAGGGGGCGAUGAAGCUUCCCGCACCGGAGCAUUACCCCCCACCCCUGCCACCUUUACAGAUGCCCCCUGAAGCGGCACGGUGCCCUCCGCCUGCCAACCUCUACCCCAACAUGCCCCUCUCUCCAACCGCAUCUGGCUCAAUGAUGCCCAUGCAGGGUGGUCACAGUGAAGGUCUCUUGCAGAUCGCAUCCCCUCAGGCUCAGGUCAUGACCCCAACCCCUCCUCCUUCGACGCCCCCUCAGGCCCCGCCCACUCAGAACGGCUACAACGGCUCCAAACACGCACAGACACAGGGCUCUUUUCAUACUACUUGGACGGGAAGCAGCACGGCCUCUUACACUCCUAUAGGACGCCAACAGAGCAGCCGUGCCCACCAGCCUCCUCUCCACCACCCCCACUACUGGUCUCAGCAUCACAGUUCGUCAUCGUUCCCUCCGCCAGUCUCCAACCAUCCAGGGCCAGAAUUCUGGUGCUCCAUCUCGUAUUUUGAGAUGGACGUUCAGGUUGGUGAGAUGUUUAAAGUGUUGUCCAGUUGUCCCGUGGUGACGGUGGAUGGCUACGUGGAUCCAUCUGGGGGAGAUCGUUUCUGCCUCGGGCAGCUCAGUAACGUUCACCGUACUGAGGCCAGUGAAAGGGCCAGGUUACACAUCGGUAAAGGCGUGCAGCUGGAGUGUCGAGGUGAGGGCGACGUGUGGAUGCGAUGUCUGAGCGAUCAUGCCGUCUUUGUUCAGAGCUACUACCUGGAUAGAGAGGCAGGACGAGCGCCAGGGGAUGCCGUUCACAAAAUCUACCCAGGAGCCUACAUCAAGGUGUUCGAUCUGCGUCAGUGCCAUCGGCAGAUGCAGCAGCAGGCGGCCACGGCUCAGGCGGCAGCUGCGGCUCAGGCGGCCGCCGUGGCAGGGAACAUUCCGGGUCCAGGGAGCGUCGGGGGCAUCGCUCCUGCAAUCACUUCAUUUCAUACAUGACUUUAGAUGUCUUCUGGUUGGAUUCAAACCUGAACUUCAACCUGAACUUCCACUCCAGAUCAGAUCACAGGGAAUUGAUUGCUCCUCUGUCAAAUCCAACCCCCAUCCUCGACCCCAUCUCCAGCCAUAACAACCCCAUCCCUCCAUCCCAUCCCCCGACCAUCCUGGCGCCAAAAGUCCAUUUGGCUCUGCUUGAACUUGUACAUAACAUUUACUACACGAGCUAUUGGUGAAUUAAAAUAGUGAUUUUAAGCAUCUGUUAUAAAAUAGAACUAGAGUUUAGUUUUGCUACUGCAUAGCUUGCUAAUUACCGUAGCGCGGAAACAAACGUCUUAGUCCGAACCCGUCAAGCCGCGACCGCUUUAGACGACAUCUUCGUUCCGCUUCAAGGUGAAACGAAGGUCGGCGUCUUCUACGGUCGUCACCAUUAUGUAAAAGUAGGUUUAUUUCUAACACCUCGUGCCAUUACUCCUACAAUAUAUUUGGUGUUCUGUUGUAACUUUAUCUGAGAAUAGAACCUUUCCUUUAGUCAUGGUUCAUCAGGACAAACUAAAAAAGCGCUUGUCCCCUGUUUGCCUCUGAUGCUUAAUGAAGUUAUAAAAUACAUGAUGAAAUCAUGUUUCAGUAACAUGACAAUCAGUGAACUGGAGAAACUGAAUCUAAAAGCAUUCCACGUGUUUCUUACAAAGUAUUUAUCAGUAUGUUACCUAAUGUGAAAACUGGACUAUUUUAUCGAUAUUGUUCUUUCAGUUAUUGUUGUAAUUAGAAUAAUUUUAUUGUUGAACGACGUUCAGCUCCUGUAUGUUGACUGUACACCAAAGUUAAGUAAAAAAAAAAAUCAUUUUGAUACACAUACGGUGUGAGUGUUGUGUUUGAAGGGACACUUUCCUUAGAUUCUUUCUAAAAUAAUUAACAUUGAGAAACAUCUACACCUCGGAUUAAAAUCUGUACCUCUAAAAAUAUACACUCUAGAUAAAGAUCUGAACCUCUAGACAAGAAAACAUUUUCAGGUUAAAAUCUAGACCUCAGAUUAAAAUUUACCUCCCAGAUUAAAAUCUACACCUCUAAACAUUCUACACCACAGAUUAAAAUCUACACCUAAGAUUAAGGUGUAAAACACUAGAAAAUUGUUUAACCUUCAGAUUAAUAUCUACACUUCAGAUUAAAAUUUACAUCUUACAUUAAAAUUUACACCACCAAACAUUCUACACCACAGAUUAAAAACUACACCACUAAACAUUCUACACCACAGAUUAGAAUCUACACCUCUAAACAUUCUAUACCACAGAUUAGAAUCUACACCUCUAAACAUUCUACACCACAGAUUAAAAUCUACACCACUAAACAUUCCAAACAACAGAUUAGAAUCUACACCACUAGACAUUCUACACAACAGAUUAGAAUCUACACCACUAGACAUUUUACACAACAGAUAAGAAUCUACACCACUAAACAUUCUACACCACAGAUUAAAAUCUACACCACUAGACAUUCUACACCACAGAUUAAAAUCUACACCACUAAACCUUCCAAACAACAGAUUAGAAUCUACACAUCUAGACAUUGUACACCACAGAUUAAAAUCUACACCUAAGAUUAAGGUGUAAAACACUAGAAAAUUGUUUAACCUUCAGAUUAAUAUCUACACUUCAGAUUAAAAUUUACAUCUUACAUUAAAAUUUACACCACCAAACAUUCUACACCACAGAUUAAAAACUACACCACUAAACAUUCUACACCACAUAUUAAAAUCUACACCACAGAUUAGAAUCUACACCUCUAAACAUUCUAUACCACAGAUUAGAAUCUACACCACUAAACAUUCUACACCACAGAUUAAAAUCUACACCUCUAAACAUUCUACACCACAGAUUAAAAUCUACACCACUAAACAUUCUACACCACAGAUUAGAAUCUACACCUCUAAACAUUCUACACCACAGAUUAAAAUCUACACCACUAAACAUUCUACACCACAGAUUAGAAUCUACACCUCUAAACAUUCUACACCCCAAAUCAAAAUAUACAAAUCAGAUUAAAAUCUACGUAAAAAGUUCAAAUGUAAAAAUGAUUAAUCCUAGAUUAAAAUCUACACCUCUAAGCAUUCUACACAACAGAUUAGAAUCUACACCACUAGACAUUCUACACCACAGAUUAAAAUCUACACCUCUAAACAUUCUACACCACAGAUUAAAAUCUACACCUCUAAACAUUCUACACCACAGAUUAGAAUCUACACCACUAGACAUUUUACACAACAGAUUAGAAUCUACACCACUAGACAUUCUACACCACAGAUUAAAAUCUACACCACUAGACAUUCUACACCACAGAUUAAAAUCUACACCACUAAACCUUCCAAACAACAGAUUAGAAUCUACACAUCUAGACAUUCUACACCACAGAUUAAAAUAUACACCUCUAAACAUUCUACACCUCAAAUCAAAAUAUACAAAUCAAAUUUGAUUGUAAAAAUGAUUAAUCCUAGAUUAAAAUCUACACCUCUAUAAAUUCUACAUCCCAGGUUACAAUCUUCUUGUCAGAUUAAAAUGUACACAUCACAUUAAGGUCUAAACUGCUGAAUAAUAUUGAAACUUCAAAUUAAAAUCUACACCUCAGGUUAAGGUGUGAUUUAACCUUCAGUUUAAAAUAUAGUCCUCAGAUUAAAAUUUACAAAUCUUUACAAAAAUUUACAAAAACAAAUUUACAAAAUUUACAAAUUAGAAUCUACACCUCUAUUCUACACCACAGAUUAGAAUCUACACCUCUAAACAUUCUACACACAGAUUAAAAUCUACACCUCUAGACAUUCUACACCACAGAUUAAAAUCUACACCACUAAACAUUCUACACCACAGAUUAGAAUCUACACCACUGAACAUUCUACACCACAGAUUAAAAUCUACACCUCUAAACAUUCUACACCACAGAUUAGAAUCUACACCACUAAACAUUCUACACCACAGAUUAAAAUCUACACCUCUAGACAUUCUACACCACAGAUUAGAAUCUACACCACUAAACAUUCUACACCACAGAUUAAAAUCUACACCUCUAAACCAUGAUGUGUUGGGGAAGCUUUAGCUCUUUGGUUAAGGUCUUGCGAUACUGUUAGAAAGGUUGUGAGUUUGAAUCCCUGACUGUUAGACCCCUGAACUUUAACCUACAACUUCAAAUUCACCUGUAGACGGCGCUACUGAGCUUCAACAUGACGCUGAUUCCUUCUGCAUCACAAAGCAUUCUCCUCCUCAAUAACAAGUAUUGCAUUAACAAUAAAAUUAGUGAAGUAUAUUUUAAAAUUAUACACCUAAUUUAUCCAGCAACAAAAAAAUUCUACAAAAAGGUUAAAAUGAUAUUUCAGAUUCUUGGACACUCUGUAAUAUAAAUACAGAAUCUGCACCUUUUUUAUUGUAUGUACACUUUUUUUUUUUUUUUUGAUGUUGAACAUGUUUUUGAGUCAUUAUGUUUGACAAAAAAUAAUAUAUAGAAAAAAGGAUGUUAUAUUUUUAUGAGGAAAAUAAAAUAGAAAAAUGUCAUAUAUUUUAAAUAUUUUUAUUUUAUUUGGAAAUUAAGCUGGAAAUGAAAACUUAUUUUGAAACUUUAAAAGGACUUACAAGCCGAAAAGCUGUCAAAACUAUGGACUUUUACAAGGCUGUUAAUUACUCUUCUCUAAAUUAAUUGUAUUGCUCGAUACCCCUUACUGUAUGUGUAAAUUUUUCUUUUUCUUAUCUUCUAUGUUAUAUUACUGUUUUAAGAUUUAAAUAAUAUAUCAUUGUGUUAUGUUAUUUGUUAUCAUUUGUUAUUGAAACAAUAAAAUAAAUAAAUAAAUAAAUAAAUAAA